GACGAACGCUGGCGGCGUGCCUAAUACAUGCAAGUCGAACGCUUCUUUCCUCCCGAGUGCUUGCCCUCAAUUGGAAAGAGGAGUGGCGGACGGGUGAGUAACACGUGGGUAACCUACCCAUCAGAGGGGGAUAACACUUGGAAACAGGUGCUAAUACCGCAUAACAGUUUAUGCCGCAUGGCAUAAGAGUGAAAGGCGCUUUCGGGUGUCGCUGAUGGAUGGACCCGCGGUGCAUUAGCUAGUUGGUGAGGUAACGGCUCACCAAGGCCACGAUGCAUAGCCGACCUGAGAGGGUGAUCGGCCACACUGGGACUGAGACACGGCCCAGACUCCUACGGGAGGCAGCAGUAGGGAAUCUUCGGCAAUGGACGAAAGUCUGACCGAGCAACGCCGCGUGAGUGAAGAAGGUUUUCGGAUCGUAAAACUCUGUUGUUAGAGAAGAACAAGGACGUUAGUAACUGAACGUCCCCUGACGGUAUCUAAUCAGAAAGCCACGGCUAACUACGUG
rnacentral:rRNA from 1 species